rnacentral:lncRNA from 1 species
CAUUUUUUUUUUUUUUUUUUUUUUUUUUUUUUUUUUUUUUUGUUCCAAGAUUCCGUGUUACAUCGCCUCUAGAACUAUCUUUCUGAAUAAUUUUAUUACUAGAUAUAAUGUGUCACCUAAUAUAGUAGAGCUGUAGAGAAAUCACCACCUUCCAGAACUAUUUACCAACUUUUUCUUUCUCAACCUGUUCAUAAGGUUAGGUAGGUUUACCAUUUUUAGUUAUGUCCAGCAAAAAAUCAAAUCCUGUUUUCGAACACAAAAAGACGAUAGCGACUAAACAAUUAUUGUAAUUGUUAUAACUUCAAACUUUGAAAAAAAAAAAAAAAAACACUUUCUUACAAGUUAGGCUUUUCUCAAUAUCGAAUCCAAUGAAGGAAACAGCAAGACAGUUCUGAUUUUGUUUUCUAUCAUUUACAUGAGAGGAAGUUUUAUGUGUCUGUCAAAGAAAACAUUGAAAAGUAUGUGACCCAACAAG